UGAAUUGGGAUUUGUCGAAUU
rnacentral:miRNA from 1 species